rfam:Oryza sativa Japonica Group DNA, chromosome 3, cultivar: Nipponbare, complete sequence.
AAAAAGACAAAUCAUAAGUUUCCGUAUCUAACGUUUGACUGUCCGUCUUAUAUGAAAUUUUUUAUAAUUAGUAUUUUUAUUGUUGUUAGAUGAUAAAACAUUAUUAAUAUUUUAUACGUGACUUGUCUUUUUAUUUUUUUUUAUAUUUUUUUUAAAUAAGAUGGACGGUCAAACGUUGGAUACAGAAAUCCAAGGCUUGUCUUUUU